GACGAACGCUGGCGGCGUGCUUAACACAUGCAAGUCGAACGGAAAGGCCCUGCUUUUGUGGGGUGCUCGAGUGGCGAACGGGUGAGUAACACGGGAGUAACCUGCCCUGGACUUGGGGACAACUUCAGAAAGCCGGGGAUACUACCGGCUAGGUGCUCUUGCUGCUGGGGGGGGGUGGGAAGUUUUGGGCGGUGGGGGAUGGACUGGCGGCUAAUCAGCUUGUGGGGGGGGUAGUGGCUAACCAGGGCUUUGACGGGUAGUUGGCCUGGGUGGGUGACCGGCGACAUUGGGACUGAGAUACGGCGCAGACUCCUACGGGAGGCAGCAGGGGGGAAUAUUGCACAAUGGUCGGAAGCCUGAUGCAGCAACGCCGCGAGCGGGAUGACGGCUUUCGGGUUGUAAACCGCUUUCGCUCGUGACGAAGCGGGAGUGACGUUAAUGGGUAAAGAAGCACCGGCUAACUACGUG
rnacentral:rRNA from 1 species